AUCUCAGUAGCUCAGCUGGAUAGAGCGCCGGAUUUGUAAUCUGGGGGUCGGUGGUUCGAGUCCACCCUGGGAAU
rnacentral:tRNA from 1 species